UGGGGAAUAGUGCACAAUGGGCGCAAGCCUGAUGCAGCCAUGCCGCGUGUAUGAAGAAGGCCUUCGGGUUGUAAAGUACUUUCAGUCGGGAGGAAGGUGUCAAGGUUAAUAACCUUGGCAAUUGACGUUACCGACAGAAGAAGCACCGGCUAACUCCGUGCCAGCAGCCGCGGUAAUACGGAGGGUGCAAGCGUUAAUCGGAAUUACUGGGCGUAAAGCGCACGCAGGCGGUUGAUUGAGUCAGAUGUGAAAUCCCCGGGCUUAACCCGGGAAUUGCAUCUGAUACUGGUCAGCUACAGUCUUGUAGAGGGGGGUAGAAUUCCAUGUGUAGCGGUGAAAUACGUAGAGAUGUGGAGGAAUACCGGUGGCGAAGGCGGCCCCCUGGACGAAGACUGACGCUCAGGUGCGAAGGCGUGGUGAGCAAACAGG
rnacentral:rRNA from 1 species